UGGAACAUGUACUCUUUUAGCAUUUCUCUAGUAGGUUUUCUCAAGGGGAAAGCCUCC
ensembl:snRNA U7 U7 small nuclear RNA